rnacentral:miRNA from 1 species
CUGUACCUCACAGUCAGCAGACAGACCCUCCCUCCCAGACCCUCCCACCUCCUGGACAGCAUCUAUUUUGAACCUGCAUUCUUAGUGAGCUGUCCAGGAGAUGGGAGGGUCUGGGAGGGAGGGUCUGCUGCUGAUUGGCUGGAAUGU